UUGAAUUACGUAGCGCUCGCAGGCUCGUAACAUUCGUCAUGCUGCCGCAACGUCGUGUGAUCGUGCGAAGGAAGCCGUGAACCACAUGGAAAAUUUGAAGAAAAUAUCUCAUUUUCAACGGUUUUAAACAAAUUACAACAGAAUACAAGGUAAAAUGAGUGAACUUCCCCAGUCUUCUAGCAUUGUCCAGAAAUCAUUAUUGUACCACACAUUUGAAUUCGGUCAGAUAGCUGGUUCGUUGACCCCGUAUACGAUAUGGAAGAUUCUAAUAACAAUCCAAACUAUAUCCUAUAUAUGGCUACUUCGUGGAUGUUCGGGAAAAUGGGGAAACGAAUAUGUAUAAAGUAAACGAUGUAUGCCUCAAAAUUUAUGAUUGGCAAAGCGAAAACGUGAAUGAAAAUUGAAAAUCACAAGGCCCUUGCAUUUGUAAUAUACAUUGGAAAUCGUUUGGAUAUUCAAGACGAAAUGACAAUAAGUAAUCGACGAAAGACCUUAAUGAUAAUUCAUCAUGCAUGUAUGGCUUAAAACAUGCAAGGCAAGCAGCAGGUUUGGGAAAACGUAAUUACAUGCAUCUAGACGCUAUACUCAUACAGUUGUUUGAUGGAGAGCAAGGCAGAAGUUCGACUCACGAGGCAUGCAAGGUGUUGCUUUGUCAAGAUAUCGAUUACUAUAUCAUGAUAUCGAUGAUGACUUGGUGCAGGUUAGGGAAACAUUUUUAUACACGCUGAAAUCCCAUAUUUUUGGGCAUGAUGAAAAGAAGGAUCGCAAGUAAAAAAAAGUUUAAGAACGAAAAUAAUCGUAAAAAACAAAAGACAAAAACUGCUCUAGAAAUCGCGGCCCUCUCGAAGACCUGGUCUGCGUGGCCUAAAGAAAUCACUUAGAUGCUUUAAAUUCAAAUCGUUGUUGGCAAUUUGAUUCAAUUCAAAGAGGACGUUGGUAGAACUUCCGGUAUUUGGGAUUGCAAACUCCUGGUGAACCCAGAUUUUUAGCAUUUCUACCUCAUGAGAAUUUAAAUUCUUCGAGAUGAACUGCAAGAAGAUCUUAUAGAGGUCGCCUUUGAGGGUUGCUGCUGAUGUUGGAUACAUUGGAUCGAUAUCUGUCAUUGCAUAGCAGAGGUGACUGUAAUCACCAACUGCAAAGCUAUCGAUGAUUAGUACAAAUUCCAUUCUAUUGAUAGAGCUGAAGAAACGACUAAGGUGCUGUAAAUUUGAAGCGUUGUCAGUACUUGUGAUUGGAAAUCGACUGGCCCAGGCCCUUAGUCCUUCAACCUCUGAAGGUUUAAGUUUUCUCCAGAUGAACUGUAAGAGUAAUUCGUGAAGGUAAUGCUCGAGAGUUGUCGUCGAUGUUGGUUGAUUCAAAUUUCCCCCCUGUGUUGAAAGGUUUGGUUCGUCCACAAAAACACCGCUGUCUGUAUCGCUAUUCAUUUCCACAGGUUUAAAUAGUACCCCUUCAAAAUAGAAAUUCAUAGCACAUUAUUUUCAACAUCAUGUUCAUCAUAGUUGUUUAUAAUAUAACAUUUAUAGUACGCGCGUGCUAAUUGGAUGAGAAGCGUGUUUCAAUAACUGUAUAGAAACACGAAAAAGGUUUUCAAUUUCUAAAUAUCAAUCAUAUCAAUGCACUGCCCAACCUCGUACCCAGGGUCCUUUUACCUCCGCUCCACAGCCAAAUUACCUGGUAGUCGCUUUCGCACGCACGCACCCGUUCGAUGAUUCUGCACGUCUUGCUCCGAUUUUGUGUGCGAUAUUCGGCUCUUGAUAAAUAAAUAACGACCAAUAAAUCAGUUACGGAUGAUCAAAAUGAAAUGAGGUCGAACAAACAUCAGAACAUUCGCGCGUUCCGUGUUUUCAUCUAUCAAAACAAAAAAAUCGCAGCAGAAAUUACAAGUAUAAAACGGGCUUUUAUAUGAUUUCGGAUUGCUUUGAUACACUUAUACGACUGUUAUUAGAAAUUAUAAUGCCAUUAGUAUUAGCUGGAUGAAUCGUCAUGUCAUAUUCAAGGAAAUUUGAAGUUCAAUUUUCAAAUUAACAGAUACAGUAAUCCCUUAAAAGUUGAGUUAAAACAAUCAUUUAAAAUAAAAGGCUUUGUCUCUCAUGAUCUCAUCUGUAAGGCAAAUUCGUUAUUUAUAUAGCCAACCCACUUGCUAUUGUUUUAAAAUAUGUGAAAUGCGUGCGUAGGUGUAUGGUAUUAUGGCGUAUUAAAAUUGCUACCCUUGGCUUUAGAGCUAGCUCGAUUCGAUACUUAUUCAUUCUUCGUUAUAUAUAUCAACACCUCGAAAUUGGACCGACCUAUACUAUUCCAAUAACCGAGGAACUAGCAAGAUGACAUUAUUCAGCUCGCGAAAUAUCUAGCUUGGCAUACAAAUCUCGUGAUGUCAUGCACCGAACGAAGCUAUAAUUCGUAUAUUAAAUCUGAGAAUAUAUGCUCAUUAACUGGGUAAUUGCAUCUAUAUUCGUCCUAACAAGGCAUCCUAUAGUAAGUAUAUCAUAGAAAUCAGCAUUAUAUGCUAAAGAUAAUGUGCCUAAUACCUCAUGGUUAGAGAUCGUCAUCCACGCGUGUUUCUCGCGCGAGACGAAAGCAAUAAAGGGCGUAAAAACGAAACAACAUUGAAAUUUUAAUUUAAUUUAAUUUUUUUAAAUGAAUCAUAAAAAUUAUUACGAAUGCAUUAAUGAAUUACAUAUGAAAUGAAUUGUAAAAAUUAUUAAAAAUUUUAGAAGCAUUAUGGCUUUAUUUUUCUACUACAAGUUUAAUUGAAAGGAAGGAAAGAGUAACCGUAAAUCCGGGUAAACGGGUCUUUCCCUGCAUGCUAGGUCAAUAGAUGAGAUGUAACGUAACUAUAAUAGCAAAUAGUGCAUGAUUUAUAGCUGUCUCGCCCACAGGGACUGAUGAAUUGAGGAAAAAUAUCAUUAUAGAAGGCCAAUUACGCUUUUUUUACCGAGGCCUUGUUAAUCUUCAUUUCGUAUCGCCAAAACCUCAUCCAAUGUUUGUUUAUCGGAUGUCACACUGCAAUUUAUAUGUCACUUUAAGCACCUUGUUCCCAGGCCACAUUUAGAUUAGAUCUGGAUUGCAUUUUUUAAUUCGUUUGUUGAAGUACUUCAUGUAAAACGCGCUUUAUUCCGAGUAUUGAAUUCAAUAAAAUACUUUUUUAAAAUUGUAGAGCCCGAGUUUUCACUACAGGUUGCUAAAUACGGUGUCUUUAAGAUUGCAAUGCCAAUUCUGAAUAUUGAAGUAUCGAUGGGCAAACUGUUACAAAAUAGGAGCAUUUUUCCAACUUAAACUUAUUUGUUGUAUUGUAACAUCACUUAUCGACGCGCUGUGAGUCGCACUGUGGGCUCAAAUACUGCCACUCAAUGCGUUGUUAAAUUGAAAAUAUUUUUCGAGGGCUCAAUUUCAGUGUUAAAAGAAGAGAAAAGAUA